AUUGAACGCUGGCGGCAGGCCUAGCACAUGCAAGUCGAGCGGUAACAGGAAGCAGCUUGCUGCUUCGCUGACGAGUGGCGGACGGGUGAGUAAUGUCUGGGAAACUGCCUGAUGGAGGGGGAUAACUACUGGAAACGGUAGCUAAUACCGCAUAAUGUCGCAAGACCAAAGAGGGGGACCUUCGGGCCUCUUGCCAUCGGAUGUGCCCAGAUGGGAUUAGCUUGUUGGUGGGGUAACGGCUCACCAAGGCGACGAUCCCUAGCUGGUCUGAGAGGAUGACCAGCCACACUGGAACUGAGACACGGUCCAGACUCCUACGGGAGGCAGCAGUGGGGAAUAUUGCACAAUGGGCGCAAGCCUGAUGCAGCCAUGCCGCGUGUAUGAAGAAGGCCUUCGGGUUGUAAAGUACUUUCAGCGGGGAGGAAGGGAGUAAAAUUAAUACCUUUGCUCAUUGACGUUACCCGCAGAAGAAGCACCGGCUAACUCCGUGCCAGCCGCCGCCGUAA
rnacentral:rRNA from 1 species